rnacentral:lncRNA from 1 species
AUCAGCAGUCCCAUACAGGUGCCCUAGCCAAGAUCAUACUUAUGGAUGCUGAAAAACCAGUUCUUAUUACACUACAGCCUAAACUUAAAUUCUUCAUCAGGUAUGUCAAUGACGACAUCACAGUAUGGGAAGACAAAACUAUGGUAGAUGAAUUCAUAGAAGUUCUGACACUGCCAGUCUAUGGUCUCACACUGAAGAAAGACCAAGUCAGCAAGCAGGAGGUGCAUACGAGGCUAAAUAAGUUCACUCGAAUGGCAGUUGUAUAAACUUAAACUUCUUUCAUUUUCCUUAACGUUUUCGACAAAUUACAAUUUUGUCAUCUUCAGAGGUUAACAACAAAGAACAUAAUGAACUCAUUUAGCC